GAGAUUUCAUAUAAGAGUAAAAUGUUCAAAAUGUGAAGAAUGUGGCCAACUGUUUAACCGGAAGUCAAAUCACUCUGCACAUCAGAGAAUGCACACUGGGGAGAAACCUGCAAAUGUAAAGUGAUGAGUGGUUUGUACGAAUAGAUAUUUUGCAACCACCAUUUUCAUGCUAGCAUGAUACUUUGAAGAAGUAAAGAUAUGGAAAAGAACCCUUGACCUUCAGAGAUGUGGCCAUCGAAUUCUCACACAAGGAGCAGGAGGGCCUGGACCAGCUACAGUGGAAAUUGUACAGGGACGUGGUGCUAGAGACAUACAGAAAUGUGGUGUCCUUGGGAUGAUCUGCAACCUGCUCACUGUAUGAGUGCUCAUUCAAGAAAAUAUGUGACUUAAGCGUUAUUGCUACAAGCAAAAUCCCAGCUUCUCUAUCACAUUGCUAGGACUCAGAGGUGUAGAAAUGGUUCUUAGGAUAUGAAAAUUUCAAUGAUUUCUGGUAAAGGUGCUGUCAGAAAAAGUAUUUGCAGUGAUCCUUUUCCAGAACCUUCUAUACUGUCCCCUCUACUGAACACACUACUGUAUUGGGAAUUUGAGUAU